GGGGGGGGCAAGCGUUGUUCGGAAUUACUGGGCGUAAAGGGUGCGUAGGCGGCUUUCUAAGUUGGAUGUGAAAACUCUGGGCUCAACCCAGAGCCUGCAUCCAAAACUGGAGAGCUUGGGUACUGGAGGGGAAAGCGGAAUUCCUGGUGUAGCGGUGAAAUGCGUAGAUAUCAGGAGGAACACCGGUGGCGAAGGCGGCUUUCUGGACAGUUACCGACGCUGAGGCACGAAAGCUAGGGGAGCAAACAGGAUUAGAUACCCUGGUAGUCCUAGCCCUAAACGAUGGAUACUUGCUGUGAGGGGGAUUGAAACCCUUUGUGGCGAAGCUAACGCAUUAAGUAUCCCGCCUGGGGAGUACGGUCGCAAGGCUG
rnacentral:rRNA from 1 species